GGACGAACGCUGGCGGCGUGCCUACUACAUGCAAGUAGAACGCUGAAGCUUGGUGCUUGCACCGAGCGGAUGAGUUGCGAACGGGUGAGUAACGCGUAGGUAACCUGCCUGGUAGCGGGGGAUAACUAUUGGAAACGAUAGCUAAUACCGCAUAACAGUAGAUAUCGCAUGAUAGCUACUUGAAAGGUGCAAAUGCACCACUACCAGAUGGACCUGCGUUGUAUUAGCUAGUUGGUGAGGUAACGGCUCACCAAGGCAACGAUACAUAGCCGACCUGAGAGGGUGAUCGGCCACACUGGGACUGAGACACGGCCCAGACUCCUAUGGGAGGCAGCAGUAGGGAAUCUUCGGCAAUGGACGGAAGUCUGACCGAGCAACGCCGCGUGAGUGAAGAAGGUUUUCGGAUCGUAAAGCUCUGUUGUAAGAGAAGAACGAGUGUGAGAGUGGAAAGUUCACACUGUGACGGUAUCUUACCAGAAAGGGACGGCUAACUACGUG
rnacentral:rRNA from 1 species